GAUGAACGCUGGCGGCGUGCCUAAUACAUGCAAGUCGAGCGAACAGAUGAGGAGCUUGCUCCUCUGACGUUAGCGGCGGACGGGUGAGUAACACGUGGAUAACCUACCUAUAAGACUGGGCUAACUUCGGGAAACCGGAGCUAAUACCGGAUAAUAUAUUGAACUGCAUGGUUCAAUAGUGAAAGACGGUUUUGCUGUCACUUACAGCUGGAUCCGCGCCGCAUUAGCUAGUUGGUAAGGUAACGGCUUACCAAGGCAACGAUGCGUAGCCGACCUGAGAGGGUGAUCGGCCACACUGGAACUGAGACACGGUCCAGACUCCUACGGGAGGCAGCAGUAGGGAAUCUUCCGCAAUGGGCGAAAGCCUGACGGAGCAACGCCGCGUGAGUGAUGAAGGUCUUCGGAUCGUAAAACUCUGUUAUUAGGGAAGAACAAAUGUGUAAGUAACUAUGCACGUCUUGACGGUACCUAAUCAGAAAGCCACGGCUAACUACGUG
rnacentral:rRNA from 1 species